rnacentral:tRNA from 1 species
AGGGGUUGUUAGUCGUUCGCUGAUACUGAAUGAAUUAGGACUAGGUCCUUC